AAAAAAGCAGAGAUCUGUUACCAUUUGUGAACUGGUCUCUCGUAACCUUCAGGGAGAGAAAUUGCAAUGUUAUUGGGUGAACCUCUUGAGUUCUGAUGAUUAAUGGUUCAGUAAACAAUGUUACAUAA
rnacentral:snoRNA from 1 species